rnacentral:sRNA from 12 species
GCCCCUUUGGUAUGGUGGUGGUCGGCGAAAGCCCCGCAAUGCUUUUUACUGCGUAGGACACCUAAACCGAACGGGCUU